rnacentral:lncRNA from 1 species
UUUUUUUUUUUUUUUUUUUUGGAUACUGAUGAAAACUAAGACUGUUGUAAUCUUCUGCCAUUUACAGGACCAACUGUUGUGAUACUGUGUGUCCUUUGACUCUUUCCCACUAAAAGAAAAAUAUCAAGACCAACCAGCUGACCCCAUUUUACCACUGUAACCUGCAGAGGGGACGCACAAUCAAGUGGUUUUGCAAGAUGUCUUUUGUAUGGAAACAUGUAUUUUAUAACAAAGACUUCCCUUUUCUGAUGUGUAGUGGGUAGUGUUUAAAAGACACUUUUCUGGUGACAGUUCUCCCUUACGUCCCCCCCAACACGUUUUUUUUGUUUGUUUGUUUUUACAGUAGAGAAGAUAAGAUUCAUUUUAUUCUGCUGUUUUACAGCUGCUGGGACCAAAGGAUUGCUGAAGUAUUUAAGCAAUCUCAAAUUCUGUGACCUUCCUGAACAGCCUCAGCCCUAAGUAAGGCGAGUUAAUGUGUUUGAAAAUUUUAAAACAGUAGAGUAUCCAGAAAGCAGUGUUAAUAAGUAGUGUAUUUUUUUAAUUGAUAUUAUAAGUUUGUGCUUCCAGUAAGUCGCAUUCUUAAAACUCCUUCCUUCACCCGGCUGCUGUCAGUGAUGGUUUAUUGGCUGGAGAAUUGGAUUUUAAAGCACUUGUCCCAGUAGUGUUCCGUUUGUGCACAGAAUUUUUGUACAGGAGUGGGGAAAAAACACGUCAUGUUCUGGUUCCCUUUUAUUCCAGAAAAUGUGCCAUUUACCUCUUACAGGUUUGCUUGGUUACUUACAGAGUUAGUUGGCAUGAAUUGUUAAUCACUCUUGGCAAAAAUCUGCUCUGAUGUGACUCUUCACUGUAUUAUAGACCCUGGCUAUGUGAUACUGAAAUACCUGUGCAUGAUUUCCUCUCUUUUUGUCAUAGUGGUGUUUUCUGUGUAUGUUGAACAUGUUGGCUUGUCGGCCGUGGUAUUUGUCAGCCAUGGUGUUUGUUACACAGCAAAUUUCUGCAGCAGAUCUGUUCUCCCUUUUUGACUAGCAGCUAAGGCUGGUGUGUAAAACGGGAUUUUUUUGACACUUAUUCUGUCCUCAUCUGCAGCAGUUUGUGGUUCCUUUGAAGUUAUAAGGGAAGGGGCCAUUCAAAUGAAAGCUGUUCAGGGACUUCAGUGAGGUUUCUCUUGUGUUCCUAGGGUUCAUUAUAUGUAUUUGAGUAAAUACAAUAUAGAUAUGUGCAAAAAAAACUGCCGUGACUUGAAUGCUGAUGUCAUAUCAUCCUAUAAAAUGUUUGCCUUUCAGCCUCUUCUACGGAGGUAAAUUCUGUCAUUUCAAAUUAAUAUAACUGUGGAUAUUUUUCUGGAUCUAAAUAUCUGAAUUGGUCUGUUAAGCAUGAGUCGCUCCUACUGACUUGCAUAUGCAUUGCUUCCCUGGCUGAGUUGCAGUCUCAGAUCCCUCCCUAAUUACAUCUAUCUGAAGAUUGUACUGUAAAUAUACCAACUUUGCUCAGUGCUUAAUACGCUGAAUUUGGCUGCAGACAUUUCACUAGGAGAAAAAAAAUAAUCUCUGUACUUUUGCAGAUAAUAGUCAUAGUUCUGAUGCAUGCUUACUGUUCCUCUAAAUCCAACAUAAAUAACUGUCUGAUAGCAAUAAACUUCACUGAGCAGGUAAGUGUAAAUCACAGCGGCCUACACAAGUCCUGCAUUUAGAGUGUAUGUUGAGCCCCUCUUUAAAACGUAAUGUAGAAGUUCAGCAAAUGAAAAAUGUUACAUCUAUUAAAUUAGCAAAUGAACAUAAUUUAAUAUGCCAAUUUUCUUCCCAUCAAAAUAGAUAGGAUCAUGCAGAUGGGACUAAAAAAGCUCUGUUUUUGAGUGGCAGCUCUGAUUUACACUGAAUAAGUGUAGGAGAGGAGAGGACUUUGUGCACCAAAUUUGUGUGCUAUGAUCAGUUAAUGAGGCUUUGUGGUAUUAAUCAUUUUCUUCUGUAAGAGUUCCAGUGGAAUUUGAAGACUAGCACAUACUGCUUUAGAUAGGUUGUCUAAAGCUGAUACGGCUGGAUUCAUGAGAGAUGGGAUCAUUCAGGUGAAGGAAGUUCUUGUAAAUCUACUUUUCUCUGUAGCAGUAGCAUGUAAAGAGUUUCUCCAUCGAUGCCAAAACGCAUAGUGCUUCAUCAGGAAAUCUUAACUAAGUGGUUAAGAACUGAAGGGCUAAAGUUAACAAAUAGCCUUUGUUAUGGCCUUGAGACUUAACUGAUUUAACCAAAACUGCAUUAUGAUGUUUGUUUUAAUCACAGAGUGAUUCUCUCAAAUAACAGUGAGCUUUCUUAACUUGGAACUUUUUUUCUCCUGUUUUAGUACUCAAGCAUCUCUUCAGUAGCUCACAUUGUAUAGUAUUGGACAAUGUACUGUGUAGAUUACUGAGCCGAUCUGUUAAAAAUACCAAUAGAAAUGUAUGAGGAGUUUGCUUUUUAUCAAAACAAAUUGGAUUCAGGAUGACAUUCAAUUUAUUGUUUUAUUUUUUUUUAAUGUACAGGACUGUUCAGUGCUGUGGCAGCUCUACUUUAAUGUGAAUUCACACUAAGGACUCAGAAUUAAGAAAAUAUAUAACAGCACUUGUUCCAAGACCAGCUUUUACAAGUAUGCAUAUAGAACCUAGCCUUAAACUUCCUAUGUGCUGUCUUGUGCCAUAGCAGAGCUGCAAGGUAAAGUAUUUAAAUCAAUCUAAGAAUAGCUUUGAGGGUGUAUAUAACUUUAAAAAACAAAAACACACACAAACUCAUUUAUGUAUAGAGUUGAGAUACUCAGUUUUAUGAGGGGUUAACAUAUGGCUCAAGCACAGUUAUACUGAAAGAUUUCAAGUUCUUUCGGCAUUCUUCAAAUCCUAACUAUGCAUAGACCCAGUCAGUUCCUUGAUUACCUACUUUGUAGCUUAAAUACGUAAAAGGUCUAUUUUUACAUACAACGUGACACACUUGAUACUGUUUUCCUGAUAUUUUACACUUCUAGCCCAACUUGAAGGCUGAUAGCAGUGUUCAGUAACACUGACAGUUGAUCUUUUUAGAUAUGCUGAAUAGUGUUCCUCCAGUUGUAAAUUUCACAUCAUUCACAAGGAGGUGGUUGUUGUUUUAAUGAAGGCCUAUGCUGGCAGCUAUGACUGUUGGACUCUUUAUUUUAGGAAUCUGAGGCAUGAGGAAGCAGACUGCUCAUUAAACAGUAACAUGAUUUAGCUAUUUAUUCUUUUCUUGGUGCCAUAACCAUGUAGCAAUGAAUUUAAGUACAUGGAAAAGUAAAAAAUAAUAAUAAUAAAAAAAUACUGAUUGAGUACAUAGAGCCUGGGAGGAAAUUCUUGCGUGUGCAUAUCUUGAGAGAGAAAAAAGGGAGUGCAAAUUAAAUAUAGCAUACUGUGGAAGUCAGUGUUUGCUGCAUUUGCUGCAUUAUGUAAAUCAGCUCUUAAAAAGUAUGCUUACUCUCAGGGCUAUUUUCUUUUGUUUGUUCUAAGAUGCAGUUUACUGAAAUUGAGAGCUUAGGAUUUUUUUAAGAACACUGAAGUCUUUUGAAAAGAAAAAUGCUUCUAAAAAUAGGUGCUUGCACCAUUUUAUUGCUGUAAUAUCUGGAAACGUUUUCAAUGUUAAUGUAAACCUACUGGCAAAUAUCUUUGAGGAUUCAUUGUCCUACCAUAUAAAAACCUUGCUACUUCUGAUCUUGAUACUCAGAGCUAAUUGUUGCUAAGACAACUUUCGAAACAAAGAGCGUGCAACUUUAAGAACAGCGUGGGGGGUGGAAAUGCAAAGAAGUCAGAUCCAUUAACCUUUCCUCUGCCUCAGGCCUAACUUCUUUUUGUUUAUGGAUUUUAAUAGAAUUCAUUGGUAUUUCUUGCUGAAAUGUGACCUAUUCUCUCUUGCCCAUCUCCGAAAUGUCUUUACAGUAACUCACUGCUAGUGAAAUCUGUUUUCUUGUGGAAUAUCUGACAGCUUCUCCAUGAAACUCUGACAGGGGAGUGAGGAGAGCACGUGGACACCAGUAACUUGUGGUUACAAAGAUCAUUGCUGCUGAGUGACUUCUUAGAUAUUUUAAUUUCCAUUGUCUCAUUGUGUAUGCACACACAGUCUGCGUAGGCCUGCUUCUGUAAACCGUAUGAUUUGGUAUUUUAGAUAAUCUUUUUUUAUGGACAGAUUUUCGGAACUUGACUCAUACAGAACUGAUACAUAAUUUUAGUACAAGUAUCUUCAAAGCAAAGCUUGUUUGUCGUUCUCAUUCUCAUGAAAUUAAUAUACCAUUAAUGUAACCUGCAAAAACGAGAUCCUUGCUACACAAGCACCCAAACACUUGAGAAUGUCAGGACUGUGCUUUUUUCCAUGUGAUCCUGUAGUUUUCAUUAGAUUAAUAGUCGAAGAAUAUUGCUUGGCUUUAUUCUUUCAUUUAUUGAAACGUGCAAUUUUUGAGAGUUAACAGUUAAGGGCUGUCCAAAACUGCCGUUAGAUUGGUCUUUGUAUGAAAUUGGCUGAUGUGUUUUCCUCUGUUACACUGUGAUUAACUUGUGGAGAUCUUCUUGUGUAUGUUGUACAGAUCAGUUACUUGUUGCAUGUAUGGCUAUUUUUGUAAGCAAGAGGAAUUCCAGGGAUGAUAUGCAUAAAGGGCCUAUUCUGAAAUGAUGUACACUGGUGUAAAACUGGAGCAGCUCUACUCAUUUCAAUGGAAUUCUUGAUUUACACUAGUCUUUGCUAUGUGUAGUUAUGCCAGUACUAUUUUGCACAAUGUUGUUUUAAAUCUUGAGUACUGAAUUGUGAACUGUUUCCACUAGAAACAGUAAAAAUUUUUACAAACUGCAAUAGUGGAAUGUUUUCGGGAUUUUUAUUUUAUUUUUUGCCUAAAAUAAAAAGUCAUCACUUCCA